rnacentral:rRNA from 1 species
AUUGAACGCUGGCGGCAUGCUUUACACAUGCAAGUCGAACGGUAACAGGGUGCUUGCACCGCUGACGAGUGGCGAACGGGUGAGUAAUGCGUCGGAACGUGCCGAGUAGUGGGGGAUAACGCAGCGAAAGUUGUGCUAAUACCGCAUACGUACUGAGGUAGAAAGUGGGGGACCUUCGGGCCUCACGCUAUUCGAGCGGCCGACGUCUGAUUAGCUAGUAGGUGAGGUAAAGGCUCACCUAGGCGACGAUCAGUAGCGGGUCUGAGAGGAUGAUCCGCCACACUGGGACUGAGACACGGCCCAGACUCCUACGGGAGGCAGCAGUGGGGAAUUUUGGACAAUGGGCGAAAGCCUGAUCCAGCCAUGCCGCGUGUCUGAAGAAGGCCUUAUGGUUGUAAAGCACUUUAAGCGAGGAGGAGGCUACUCUAGUUAAUACCUAGGGAUAGUGGACGUUACUCGCAGAAUAAGCACCGGCUAACUCUGUGCCAGCCGCCGCAGUAA